GAAUAGCUCAGCUGGUCAAGCAUGAGACUCUUAAUCUCAGGGUUGUGGGUUUGGGCCUCAUUUUGGACA